CCCCUUUUUAUAAGGAUACCAGGCAUAUUGGAUUAGGGUUCCUCUCUACUCCAGUAGGACCUCAUCUUCACUAAUUACAUCUGCAAUAACCCUUUCCAAAUAAGGUCACAUUCUGAGGAACUAGAGCAAUCUGAAGAGGAUGUAAGUCAGUUUGAUUCCAAGUUUACACGUCAGACACCUGUCGACAGCCCAGAUGACACAACUCUCAGUGAAAGUGCCAAUCAGGUGUUUUUGAUGCCACUGCGAGAACGGGAACAAUGGAACAGGCCCUCACCAAAUGCCAAAUGUGC